UACGUAGGCAGCAAGCGUUGUUCGGAGUUACUGGGCGUAAAGAGUCUGUAGGCGGUGCUCUAAGUUUGGUGUGAAAUCUCCCGGCUUAACCGGGAGGUGCGCCGAAGACUGGGGUGCUGGAGUCUGGGAGAGGAAAGCGGAAUUCCGUGGUGUAGCGGUGAAAUGCGCAGAUAUCAGGAGGAACACCAAUGGCGAAGGCAGCUCGCUGGGACGGUACUGACGCUGAGGCGCGAAAGCGUGGGGAGCAAACAGG
rnacentral:rRNA from 1 species